GAUGAACGCUGGCGGCGUGCCUAAUACAUGCCAGUCGAGCGAACAGACGAGGAGCUUGCUCCUCUGACGUUAGCGGCGGACGGGUGAGUAACACGUGGAUAACCUACCUAUAAGACUGGGAUAACUUCGGGAAACCGGAGCUAAUACCGGAUAACAUGUUGAACCGCAUGGUUCAACAGUGGAAGACGGUCUUGCUGUCACUUAUAGAUGGAUCCGCGCCGCAUUAGCUAGUUGGUAAGGUAACGGCUUACCAAGGCAACGAUGCGUAGCCGACCUGAGAGGGUGAUCGGCCACACUGGAACUGAGACACGGUCCAGACUCCUACGGGAGGCAGCAGUAGGGAAUCUUCCGCAAUGGGCGAAAGCCUGACGGAGCAACGCCGCGUGAGUGAAGAAGGUCUUCGGAUCGUAAAACUCUGUUAUUAGGGAAGAACAAAUGUGUAAGUAACUAUGCACGUCUUGACGGUACCUAAUCAGAAAGCCACGGCUAACUACGUG
rnacentral:rRNA from 1 species